rnacentral:rRNA from 1 species
GAUUAAUGCUGGCGGUAUGCAUAACACAUGCAAGUCGAACGAACCUUCGGGUUAGUGGCGAACGGGUGAGUAAUACAUUGGGAUCUGCCCAAGAGUAGGACAUAGCCUGCCGAAAGGUGGGGUAAUUUCCUAUAGUAUCAGUAAUGAUUAAAGCAGCAAUGCGCUCAUGGAGGAACCUUUGUUCUAUCAGCUUGUUGGUGAGGUAAUGGCUCACCAAGGCGACGACGGAUAGCUGGUCUGAGAGGAUGAUCAGCCACACUGGGACUGAGACACGGCCCAGACUCCUACGGGAGGCAGCAGUGGGGAAUACUGGACAAUGGGGGCAACCCUGAUCCAGCCAUGGCGCGUGAGUGAUGAAGGCCUUAGGGUUGUAAAGCUCUUUUACCCGGGACGAUAAUGACUGUACCGGGAGAAUAAGCCCCGGCUAACUUCGUGCCAGCAGCCGCCGUAA